CGAAACCUCCUUCUCCUUUCGCGUUCCUCCCAUCUUCUCCACCGCCGCCGCCCCCGCCUGCGACGCCGGCGUCGACCUCAAGCGGGGCAUGCUGAUGGCGGCGUGAGCCGGCCGCCAAGUCUCCCAGAAGACGCUGUGGGUCUGGGUCGGCUUCUCGCGCUCGCGCCCGCGCCCGCAGCGCCGUCCUUCCUCGUCGUCCGCCGGAGUUUCGCCUGAGCGCCCUUCCCGCCGGUUCACCCUGCCGAGCUCGCUCCUUCACCAACCUGCUGCUGCCACUUUUAUUCUCCAUUUUAACUAGUAAAGUUGCGAUUUUUACUACUUUUCUUCUACUAACUACCACUAUUGCUUCUCUUCUUCUCCCCGGUUGUUAUACUUACCUCCUCUCCUCUGUUACUACUACUACUACUAGUACUGCUUCAGGUCGUUACACUAGCCAAUAAAAGUAGUUUAGUUGCCAUCUGGUUUUAUGUGCCACAGUUUACUAGGUUAGUUCCCCUCUGGUUUUGUAGGCUCCCCCUCUCCCUCUCUCCCGCCUCCCCCCUUUUCCCCUCGACUCCCUCUUUUCGAGUAGUAAAUCUAGGGUUUCUCCCCUCCCCACCUUCGAAACAAGCUCCGGUGAUGGCGAUCACGGCCCAGUCGCCGGACAUCCUCGGGGAGCGCCAUUCCGGCCAGGACGUCCGCACCCAGAACGUGAUGGCAUGCCAAGCUGUCGCCAACAUCGUGAAGUCGUCGCUCGGACCCGUCGGUCUUGACAAGUGGCAAACGUACAAAUGGAGUGAUUUGCUGGUGCCCGUAUCCAUCGAGUUGAUAGAAAGGCCUCAAGGAUGAUGCAUGCGGAUGCCAAAACUCUAGUCUCCAUUAUCAUGUAGUGUUUUCCUUGUACUUUUGUUACAUUUGGUAUAAAUGCUUCUAUAGUCAAGAUCUGUUGGACAUCUUAGAGUACAUCUGUUGAUCGAUUUAAAUAGGCUGAUGUGGCAACAAAGCGACCUUUCUAGACUAGAGUCCAUAUGAGUAUAUGAGGGACUGAGUUAUCCUAUUUAUUGUGGGGAACCUAUGCUUUAGCC